rnacentral:lncRNA from 1 species
CAAACAAAUGACUUAGCUCAUGGGGGCCUGCUAAUGAGAAAGCUUUACUUCCCUUCCAUUCACUUAUCAGUGAGAUACGGUUCACCAUAAUGUUCAAAUUCGUAUUGAGGAGAAUGGCAAUGAAACUGUGUUAUUACCAACAUAAAUGCUAAAUUUGCCUUUUCAAUUACAGGCUCAUUCUUUCCAGAAUUAAAUACCAGCCACAGCAUAGAUCUGCUAGAGAAUAUACAUGGAACUCAGACCUACAGUUAUGAUGCUCUCCCCAGUUAUGAUGCUGUCCACAUGGAAGGUGGUGGAGAGCUGUUCUUACAAAACGUGUUACUGAUGGCUGUCAUUCCAAGAGCCUAUGGUUAUGGUGUAGAAAGACUUCUGGAAGCUGGUGAAAAUGGUACUCAGUCUAUACUAUGAAGCAUGUGAGUCUCACUUACUCAUCAAACUUCUGCAGCUGUUCUCAAUAAAUACCAUAAUUUAAUGCCUGUGUCA